GGCCAAGUUUUUAAGGGCGCACGGUGGAUGCCUUGGCACCAGGAACCGAUGAAGGACGUGGGAGGCCACGAUAGGCCCCGGGGAGUCGUCAACCAGGCUUUGAUCCGGGGGUGUCCGAAUGGGGAAACCCGGCAGUCGUCAUGGGCUGUCACCCGCUGCUGAACACAUAGGCAGUGUGGAGGGAACGCGGGGAAGUGAAACAUCUCAGUACCCGCAGGAAGAGAAAACAACCGUGAUUCCGGGAGUAGUGGCGAGCGAAACUGGAUGAGGCCAAACCGUAUACGUGUGAGACCCGGCAGGGGUUGCGUGUGCGGGGUUGUGGGAUCUCUCUUCCACGGUCUGCCGGCCGUGGGGCGAGUCAGAAACCGUUGAUGUAGACGAAGGACAUGCGAAAGGUCCGGCGUAGAGGGUAAGACCCCCGUAGUCGAAACGUCAGCGGCUUGCUUGAGAGACACCCAAGUAGCACGGGGCCCGAGAAAUCCCGUGUGAAUCUGGCGGGACCACCCGCUAAGCCUAAAUAUUCCCUGGUGACCGAUAGCGGAUAGUACCGUGAGGGAAUGGUGAAAAGUACCGCGGGAGCGGAGUGAAAUAGUACCUGAAACCGUGUGCCUACAAGCCGUGGGAGCGUCGGACAUCAGCUUGCUGGUGUCUCGUGACUGCGUGCCUUUUGAAGAAUGAGCCUGCGAGUUUGCGGUGUGUUGCGAGGUUAACCCGGGUGGGGUAGCCGUAGCGAAAGCGAGUCCGAACAGGGCGAUUCAGUAGCACGCUCAAGACCCGAAGCGGAGUGAUCUAGCCAUGGGCAGGUUGAAGCGGAGGUAAGACUUCGUGGAGGACCGAACCCACCAGGGUUGAAAACCUGGGGGAUGACCUGUGGUUAGGGGUGAAAGGCCAAUCAAACUCCGUGAUAGCUGGUUCUCCCCGAAAUGCAUUUAGGUGCAGCGUCGUGUGUUUCUUGCCGGAGGUAGAGCACUGGAUAGGCGAUGGGCCCUACCGGGUUACUGACCUUAGCCAAACUCCGAAUGCCGGUAAGUGAGAGCGCGGCAGUGAGACUGUGGGGGAUAAGCUCCAUGGUCGAGAGGGAAACAGCCCAGAGCAUCGACUAAGGCCCCUAAGCGUACGCUAAGUGGGAAAGGAUGUGGAGUCGCACAGACAACCAGGAGGUUGGCUUAGAAGCAGCCACCCUUGAAAGAGUGCGUAAUAGCUCACUGGUCUAGUGAUUCCGCGCCGACAAUGUAGCGGGGCUCAAGCGUACCGCCGAAGUCGUGUCAUUCAUACAACAGGGCCAACGCCUGUAUGGAUGGGUAGGGGAGCGUCGUGUGCCGGGUGAAGCAGCCGCGGAAGCGAGUUGUGGACGGUUCACGAGUGAGAAUGCAGGCAUGAGUAGCGAUACAAACGUGAGAAACGUUUGCGCCGAUUGACUAAGGGUUCCUGGGUCAAGCUGAUCUGCCCAGGGUAAGUCGGGACCUAAGGCGAGGCCGACAGGCGUAGUCGAUGGAUAACCGGUUGAUAUUCCGGUACCCGCUGUGAAGCGUCAAACAUCGAAUCCAGUGAUGCUAAGGCCGUGAAGCCGCCCCUGAUCUCUUCGGAGUGAGGGGGAGUGGUGGAGCCGCUGAACCAAGUUGGUAGUAGGUGAGUGAUGGGGUGACGCAGGAAGGUAGUCCAUCCCGGGCGGUGGUUGUCCCGGGGUAAGGGUGUAGGACGUCAGGUAGGUAAAUCCGCCUGGCAAUAGUCUGAGACCUGAUGCCGAGCCGAUUGUGGUGAAGUGGAUGAUCCUAUGCUGUCGAGAAAAGCCUCUAGCGAGUUUCAUGGCGGCCCGUACCCUAAACCGACUCAGGUGGUCAGGUAGAGAAUACCGAGGCGUUCGGGUGAACUAUGGUUAAGGAACUCGGCAAAAUGCCCCCGUAACUUCGGGAGAAGGGGGGCCAUUCUUGGUGAUCGGAUUUACUCCGUGAGCUGGGGGUGGCCGCAGAGACCAGCGAGAAGCGACUGUUUACUAAAAACACAGGUCCGUGCGAAGCCGUAAGGCGAUGUAUACGGACUGACGCCUGCCCGGUGCUGGAACGUUAAGGGGACCGGUUAGCUCCAUUUCGGUGGGGCGAAGCUGAGAACUUAAGCGCCAGUAAACGGCGGUGGUAACUAUAACCAUCCUAAGGUAGCGAAAUUCCUUGUCGGGUAAGUUCCGACCUGCACGAAUGGCGUAACGACUUCUCGACUGUCUCAACCAUAGGCCCGGUGAAAUUGCACUACGAGUAAAGAUGCUCGUUUCGCGCAGCAGGACGGAAAGACCCCGGGACCUUUACUACAGUUUGAUAUUGGUGUUCGGUUCGGCUUGUGUAGGAUAGCUGGGAGACUUUGAAGCUCGCACGCCAGUGUGGGUGGAGUCGUCGUUGAAAUACCAGUCUGGUCGUGCUGGAUGUCUAACCUGGGUCCGUGAUCCGGAUCAGGGACAGUGUCUGAUGGGUAGUUUAACUGGGGCGGUUGCCUCCUAAAGGGUAACGGAGGCGCCCAAAGGUUCCCUCAGCCUGGUUGGCAAUCAGGUGUUGAGUGUAAGUGCACAAGGGAGCUUGACUGUGAGACCGACGGGUCGAGCAGGGACGAAAGUCGGGACUAGUGAUCCGGCGGUGGCUUGUGGAAGCGCCGUCGCUCAACGGAUAAAAGGUACCCCGGGGAUAACAGGCUGAUCUUCCCCAAGAGUCCAUAUCGACGGGAUGGUUUGGCACCUCGAUGUCGGCUCGUCGCAUCCUGGGGCUGGAGUCGGUCCCAAGGGUUGGGCUGUUCGCCCAUUAAAGCGGUACGCGAGCUGGGUUUAGAACGUCGUGAGACAGUUCGGUCCCUAUCCGCUGUGCGCGUAGGAGUCUUGAGAAGGGCUGUCCCUAGUACGAGAGGACCGGGACGGACGAACCUCUGGUGUGCCAGUUGUUCUGCCAAGGGCAUGGCUGGUUGGCUACGUUCGGGAGGGAUAACCGCUGAAAGCAUCUAAGCGGGAAGCCUGCUUCGAGAUGAGGACUCCCACCUCCUAGAGAGGGUAAGGCUCCCAGUAGACGACUGGGUUGAUAGGCCAGAUAUGGAAGCCGGGUAACCGGUGGAGUUGACUGGUACUAAUAGGCCGAGGGCUUGUCCUC
rnacentral:rRNA from 1 species